AAUGAACGUUGGCGGCGUGGAUUAGGCAUGCAAGUCGUGCGGCAAGGAGGACUUCGGUUCUCCCUAGAGCGGCGAAAGGGAUAGGAAUACAUAGAUACAUGCCUCUUAGCCCGGGAUAGCGUUUGGAAACGAACGAUAAUACCGGACGCCCUCUCCGGAGGAAAGGUGAGAUUCCGCUAAGAGUUUUGUCUAUGUCCUAUUAGCUAGUUGGUAAGGUAACGGCUUACCAAGGCGAUGAUGGGUACGGGGUGUGAGAGCAUGACCCCGAUCACUGGGACUGAGACACUGCCCAGACGCCUACGGGCGGCUGCAGUCGAGAAUCUUCGGCAAUGGACGAAAGUCUGACCGAGCGACGCCGCGUGUAUGACGAAGGUCUUCGGAUUGUAAAGUACUGUCGAUUAGGCGGAAAUAAAUGGGGGCCAUCCCCUAUUUUUGACCUAUCAUUGGAGGAAGGACGGGCUAAGUUCGUGCCAGCCGCCGCGGUAAAAC
rnacentral:rRNA from 1 species